ensembl:lncRNA
UGUGUGGGAAAAGGUCCAUUAAGGACAGACUUGUGUCCUUAAUGCACUUUUAACCUCUGCCUUUAAUUAAACAAUUUAAAUAAGCUUUUAAUUUAUAAUUUUAUUUGCUGUUUUUAAUUGUCACUUUAUUGUAUGAAAUGUUAUGAUGUGAAGCACUUUGAGUCUGCCUUGCCUUGCCUAAAAGACUAACAAAUUGUAACACAUAAAUUGUACUUAUAACGCCACUUAUCUAUAGCAAAUUGUAAAUUGGCUUAUUUGAGCAAAUUGCACUUUCCUGUUUCUUGCUCUUCUGAGUUUGUACCCUAUGGUUGAAUGCACUUAUUGUAAGUCGCUUUGGAUAAAAGCGUCAGCUAAAUGACAUGCAAUGCAACGUAAUGUGAUGUGAUAAUGGUGGGAAACAUUGAUCUGGCAGCGGGUGGUUAUCAAAACAUUGGCCAAAUAACCCGUUUUCCCAGGCUAUGUGAGCAAAUACAGAAUCCCUUUGUGUUCAUUUCUAAAGCCUUGCAUUAAGACAUGCAUCACUUUAUUGAAGACUGCGGUACUUGUAAGUCGCUGUGUUGUGCCAGAUUCUCAAUAAAGUAAGAAAAAAACAUUUACGGCAACCCAUGGUCAUGAAGAAACUCAUUAAACGUCACAUGGAAUUUGUAUGUCGCUAAAUACCCAACUGAGAUUGGCUUGUGCUGUUCAGAAAAAGGAACCUUCCACCGACCACUUUUCGCACCCGGCGUCACUCUGAUUUGUGUCAUCUGCAGGUGCAUCGCGGAGAAAACCAAUAGGGUGUCUGAAUAGUAUAUGUUUAUACUUCUCAUACAAUCACAAUGAAAUUCACUUUAUCCGUAUGGCGCGAUUUUUCUGGUUAGGUUUUUUUUGUGUGUGUUUUUGAAUGACGACAAGCUGGAAUGAAAACAAGCCUAAAUGAAAUUAGGCUAUUUUUAAAAUGUAAGGAGUAGAAAAUAUAGAUAUUUGCGUGAAAGUGUAAGGAGUAAAAGUAAAAAGUCAUCUGAAAAACAAAUACUAACCCAAAUUUCUACUUAAGUAAGGUAACAAAGUAUUUGUACUUAGUUACGUGACACCUCUGCACAACACAUACAGCCACUACAACUACCACAACAUCCGCCAUCUGUCUGAAUGACUGCUUUCUUGGCAAGGUCGAUGGGCCUUACGUCAACCCUGAUGACCCAGGAAGUUUUACAACUGGGCCCACACCCGUAGUUAAUUAUUGAAAUUGGGUGUGUUCUUGUUUGGGAACUUUUUAAUCACUGUUUAAUUAUACAUUCUUCAUUUUCAAGGCAAGGCAAGUUUAUUUGUAUAGCGCUUUUCAUACACAAGGCAGUCUCAAAGUGCUUCACAUCAUAACAAGUGAAAUAAAAUGCAGGAAUUAAAAGAAAAUUAAAAACAGCAAAUAAAAUUAUAAAUUAAAAGCUUAUUUAAAUUGUUUAAUUAAAGGCAGAGGUUAAAAGUGCAUUAAGGACACAAGUCUGUCCUUAAUGGACCUUUUCCCUUACAUUACUUUUACUUUUAUUUCUUAAGUAGUUUGGAAAGAGAAGUCAUGGAAAUCCAUUGGUCGAAAUGUGUAUGAACCCUGGUUAUAAGAGUGGAAAAACGUUGCCUGGUCUGAUGGGUCUCAAUUUCUGUUGUUUCUCAUUAGUUGAACACGCAAAGAAAAUUUCAAAAAGGGAGGUAUCUAGGAGGCACACAGAUGCCAAACCAGAGCUGGCCAUAAUUGCUAACUUAGUUGAGUGUCUCUUUCAAAAAGAUUCCUGUAUAAUUGGCUUUUGUACAGCUGCAUAAUCUAAAAAUUGUGACCAACAUAUUUGCCACACCUUGUCUUCUCCUCGACCAUAUAAAGCAUCGCUGCAAGUCAUCUGUCAGUCACUUGACACAUCAGAGACAGUGUAUGCUUCUUUCUCCACUUGUAAGUAUACCUUUUACUUUCAUCCCAACCAUCCACUUUUAACUUAUUUAAUUUCUGAUGCUCUGUAUACAUUACUUUUUUUAAUAUGCAGGAAUACUGUCUACUAAGUCUGGUGAAUGUCUCUUAAAAAAAAUGUUCACGCUGCAAAUUAAUCAAAUGCUUCUCUUUCAGUGCAUCUACACAGUCUCAAAAUGUGCAAGCUCACUCUAACUGCUGGUAAGCACACUGAUUAAAUAUUUGCUUUACAAAGUUGAUAACCAGCUUCGUGGGGCUGCUUGGCGGGAUUUUGAUUGUUAAGGUUAAAUCAGAGAAGCAAAAACUUGAACUGCUCGUUGUUGAACUGCUUGCUGGUACAGGCCCCUCUUGAGCUUAGUUUAAACCCCAUACUAACAAGUGUGUCACUUUCCAGCUCUCUGUUUGAUCAUCGCCAGCUUGGGUAAGUUUAUAACAUGUAUAGUUCACAAUCAACAGUGUCACUGUUAGAUAAAUGAACUUAACAAUUUUUGGAAAACAAGGAUGGGAAGUGGUUUUCAGCAUAUAUAUGAAUCAAUGCGAUCAUCUUUAAUGUAACCACUCUUUAUAAAUGUAUAUAGGUGUGUUAUCAGUGAAAAUAUGUGCCCUUUCAGGUUCCUAAGAGCUUCUAACACAUGUGUAACACGAACUGUUUUAGGUUUACCCGGCAUUGAAGCGAUGAAAUCCUCUACUGACCCCUGUGAUGGAAGACCCAAUGGGCAAUACCCCAACCCUGACGACGAACAUUCUUUCCUCUACUGUAUAUCUGGAGAAAAACGCGUCCAACAAUGCCCAGCAAAUUUGGUGUAUAACCCAUCCAUUAAGGUCUGUGACUAUCCCAGUAGUCAAACUGGAAACCCCUGUCAUGGAAGACGAGAUGGGCAGUACCGCAACCGUGACGACCGAAAUUCUUUUCUCAGCUGUGUAGCUGGACUAACCUACGUCCUACAAUGCCCAGCCGAUUUGGUCUAUAGACGCCGCAUUAAUCAAUGCGUCUAUCCCAGGAGAGGUUAAACUACCAGUAGAGAUACUGGAGGCCAAUGUAGUGGGAGAAGAAAUGGGCAACAUCCCAACCCUAAUAAUCAAACUUCUUUUACUACUAUGUAGCUGGACAAACGGCUACAACUCCCAAACCCAGAGCAGAUUAUUGGGACAUAAUCAAAUUCUGUUAAAUGUGCAAUUUCCUGUGUUCUUCAAUGCUUUUGGAUGUGAGGAAUGUAAUAAUGGCUAAAUACCACAUUGUUUUCCUAACUUCACUGUUGUUGUAUAGGAUAUAGGUUUUCGCAACUGUCGUGUGUAUAAUCACACUGGGUGUUUUCUCUUUCGUUUAUGUUGAUUGGUGAAUGGAUUGUUCUUACAUUAUGACACAAAUGUGGCAUAUUGUAAUUAUAUACAAUGAAUCAAUAAAAUACCGCAAUUAUAUCAGACUUAUUGUUUUUCUUUGCACUAGCAUUUUAGAGAUGGAAAUAAUUUCUUCAUAAUAGUUUAGCCCUAUGCUAACCACCUCACACGUCAGGGUUGCUGCACCACUCACACAGAAGUCCUAACCAAUAGGAAGUUGAGAUAAACGUUACGAAUAGUCUUUUGGAUAAAGAUAUAACGGAGGGAGAUCGCCGCAGACGGCGGUUUGCCGGUCGAGAGGUGUCCGCGAUGAAAAGCAGCAGUGGCGAUGCACGGGGAAAUAAAGUCUAUGAUAAAUAAAUAAAUAGACGUGACUCUAUAGGUCGUCUUCAACAAAACACGUCACUCUGCCUGUUGUUGCGGCGGCAAAUUGCUCUGCAACGCAGAACCAUGAAUUGAUUGAAUCCAACCCGCUUCUACAACCCGCCAAUGACGGCUUGUAUAAGCAGUCAUAUUUACGCAUUUCUUCCGACAAAAGUUCUUAAAUCUGAUCCGUUCUCCCGUAAACAUUCUUCGUUUUAAUAAUGCGGUAUCGGGCUAUGAAAGCGGAAAUGUGAGACUCCGUAAAGGAUGUAGGUGUGCCGUGAGAUUUUUUCUGUGUCUUAGUGUGCCUUGACGCAAAAAAGGUUGAAAAACACUGCACUAGGGAGGUGCAGGUGAUUGGACACAGGUGGAAACUAUCAGACGAUCACAGGGGAUGACAGGACAAGGCAGGAAGUGAAGUUACCCGGGGACACGAGUGGCAGAAAACUACAAAAUAAGACAGGACGUGAACCACACCGUGAUACCACACCAUCAUAUUUCACUUGGGAUGGAGUGCUAGCGGUACUACACACCAGAGAACUACAGCUUUUAAGAGAUACUUUUAGAACAUCUGUAGGGUCAAGAGAUACAGUAUGUGUAAUGCAACAUUAUGCCAUGACAACAUUGUGUCUAUUUAUUUAAAAAUGACUUAAACCACAAUAAGAUUAGUUUCCUUUUUGAGAUGCGGAACAGUGUCAGUAAAAUGUAAUGACAGUGAUUCAAACAUUUUCCAGAAAGAAAACACCCACUUCACCUGCAAUUACAUGAAGCAGCUGAUAAUAAAUCACUCAUAACUGUCGGAUAUAAUGAAGAUCAAUUUAGACUGAACUGUAAAAUUCUUCCACACAUUAUCAAACUCUUUUCGGCACACAAACAUUAAGUAGACAUUGAUGCAUUGUACAGGAUCUGCCAAAGUUUAAAACAAGCAUCAGAAUGUUAAAGAAAUGUGACAUUAAAUGUGUCUGGGUUGAUGGUGCCUGACAGCCUGGUUUUGAGAUUUUCAGAGCUGUUGAUCUACUGAUCCACUUGGAUUUUCAUGAACAACCUUGCAGGGUACCUAGAGACUGGUCAAAAAAGAGAAACUGCUAAAAUAUGCAGUGAACGAACAGAAAGUAUCUGGGAGGUUCCCUAAUUAGAUGCGAGCAUCAGAGCUACCUGAGCCAAUUUCCAACUUAUUCUCUAGCGCCACCACUAGUGUCUGGACUCCAAAGGGGCAGAUAUGCCUCAUCUUGCCUCGGCAUCCCGCCCUCUGGUCUAUCCUGCGGCAGGAUAGAGUCCAAGCCCCAAACAAGAUUGCAAUAUGAAUAGUUAUGCCUGUUACAAUAAAACAGUGUUCAAAUUUCAACAAAUCUCUCCGGAUUGAAAAUGUUGUUGUUUAAACCCUGGGUAUGUUGCUUAGUAGUAUAGGCCCUGUUAAUCCUUGUUAAAGCCCAGUACUAAUUAGUUUGUCACUUUUAAGGUCUCUGUUUGAUCAUCGCCAGCUUGGGAAAAAUCAUGACAUGUAAAAAUCAUAAUUGACAGGAUCGCUAUUAAGUCUUUAACUAAGUUGAGUAGUGGAUUAGUAGUUUUAAGUAUGUCAUCUUUGUUGUAUUCUCUUGUAAUUACAUUUUCAGCAUUUAUGGUUUAACAGGAAUUUUUACAUGUCUGAAAAUGAUUAUUUUAGGUGUACCUGGCUUUGCGAGAAAUCUUCGAGUUUACAAAACAUCACAUGGAAACCCUUGUUAUGGAAGACAAGAUGGGCUGUACCCCAACCCCAAUGAUCAGCACUCGUAUUACAACUGUGUUUGGGGACGCACCUACAUCCAAAAGUGCCCAGAACAUUUGGUGUAUAGGCAUUCCAUAACUGCUUGUUACUAUCCUGGAUCACCUGUAACAGGCAGUUCAUCUCAUGAAAUCUGUGAUCCCAUGACUACAACCAGUACUCCCACCAUGACUCCCAUGACCACCAGUCGCCCCACCACAACAAUUGCAACAACAACUCACCGUACGACAACAACAAACACGCCCACUACCACCACUAACACCCACCCAGAGCCACCUACUAAAUCAUUUGCACACAUCAGUUAUGGAAAGGCAGGCAGAUACGUUCCUCAUCCAACGGACCCAACACGAUAUAUCCAAUAGGCCAUACAAGGAAGAGUUUUCAUCCAGUCGUGCUCAGCGGGUUUGACCUUUAAACCGGCAUUCAGUGUCUGUACUUACAAAUGCGGUCAAGUGUGUCUGGCCGUGUAUUUACAAUUGUUGUCUUAUAAUUCAAGGUGUAUCUAAAUCAGUCUGGUGUGUCUCUUGUUUUUCCACUGCCUACCUAAUUACUUUUAUAUUCACAUAUAUGAACAUAGUUGUUGCAUACUUACUUAACUAUAUGUGUAUCAAACACCAUUGUAUUAAUUUGUUCUUGAUUUUUAUUUGAUAAUUUAGCCACUGCAAGAUGUAUCUUCCAUGAUGAAACAGAUGUUGGUAUAAUUAGUUUAUCUUUCCCUAUGCGCUGUUUGUGACUAUAAAGAACACGUAAUAUACCCUUAUACAACCAAUGUCAUGAUUGUGUCACAGGAGGAAAAAAUGCAGGCAAACACAAAUCACCUGAGAAUAGCGAGCGAGAGUCACACAUUGAACAUGUUUUCUUGCUGUGUUUUUGCGUGAAAGAAUUGAUAUUGCAUACUUUUGAGGUGACAGCACAGCUUACCUUAUAUGUUAUUAUUAUGUUUAAACCAAUGAUAGUCUUUCUCGGGUAAAAGUGAGAAGGUGAACACACCUUUAUUUAAAAAGGUAAUAAAAUAUCAUGUGAUGAAACUUCCCUUUCCCGGGCCACAUCUACCAGCUCUGACUGAGGGAUCCCAGGCCAGUGCAGAGAUAUAAUCUCUCCACCUAGUCCUGGGUCUUCCCCGGGGCCUCUUCCCAGCUGGCCGUGCCUGGAACACCUCCCCAGGGAGGCGCCCAGGGGGCAUCCUCACCAGAUGCCCAAACCACCUCAACUGGCUCCUUUCGACGCAAAGGAGCAGCGGCUCUACUCCGAGCUCCUCGCGAAUGGCUGAGCUUCUCACCCUAUCCCUAAGGGAGACGCCAGCCACUCUCCUUGAGGAAACCCAUUUCGGCCGCUUGUAGCCGUGACCUAGUUCUUUCGGUCAUGACCCAUCCUUCAUGACCAUAGGUGAGGGUAGGAACGAAGAUUGACCGGUAGAUUGAGAGCUUUGCCUUCUGGCUCAGCUAUCUUUUCGUCACAACGGUGCGGUAAAGCGAGCGCAAUACCGCCCCCGCUGCUCCGAUUCGCCGGCCAAACUCACACUCCAUCUUCGCCUCACUCGUGAACAAGACCCCGAGGUACUUCUCCUUCUCCUCCGAGGUACUCCUUCACUUGGGGUAAGGACAUAUUCCCUACCUGGAGUAGGCAAUCCAUCGGUUUCCUGCUGAGAACCAUGGCCUCAGAUUUACAGGUGCUAAUCCUCAUCCCGACCGCUUCACACUCGACUGCGAAACGCUCCAGUGAGAGUUGGAGGUCACAGAUGGAAGAUGCCAUCAGGACCACAUCAUCUGCAAAAAGCAGCAUUGAGAUCCGCAGCCCCCCGAACUGUAGACCCUCCUCCCCCCGACUACGCCUCGAUAUCCUGUCCAUGAAGAAGGGUACCACCACCCCGGUCUGCCACUCUUUUGCCACUGUCCCAGACUUCCACGCAAUGUUGAAGAGGCGUGUCAUCCAAGACACCCCCCCAACACCCAUUGCUUUUAGCAUCUCUGGACGAAUCUCAUCAAUCCCCGGGGCUUUUCCUCUGCGGAGUUGUUUGACUACCUCAGUGACCUCCACCAGACCAAUUGACGAUGAUCCCUCCUCCGCCUCCAGCUCCGCCUCCGGCUCCGCCUCUACCAAAGAGGGCGUAGUAGUUGGAUUCAGGAGUUCCUCAAAGUGUUCAUUCCACCGCCCGAUAACCUCCUCAGUCGCGGUCAACAGGGUCCCAUCCUUACUGUACACAGCUUGGAUGGUUCCCCGUUUCCCCUCCUGAGGUGCCAGAUGGUCUUCCAGAAGCACUUUGGUGCCGACCGAAAGUCCUUCUCCAUAGUUACUCCGAACUCCUCCCAUACUCGCUGCUUUGCCUCCAUCACGGCAGAGACUUAUGAACAUCCUUAUGUUCGAACAUGGUGUUUGUUAUGGACAAUCCGUGACUGGCACAGAAGUCCAGUAACAAACACCCGCUCGGGUUCAGAUCAGGGAGGCCAUUCCUCCCAAUCACGACUCUCCAGUUAUCUCCAUCGUCGCCCACGUGCGCAUUGAAGUCUCCCAGUAGGACUAUGGAGUCCCUUACUGGAGCCCCAUGCAGGACUCCAUUCAGGGUCUCCAAAAAGGCCGAAUACUCUGAGCCUCUGAGGACUUAUGAGUAUCCCCACACCCGCCUGGCGCCUCACACCAUGGGCCACUCCGGAGUAGAAUAGAGUCCACCCCCUAUCCAGGAGUGUGGUUCCAGAGCCGAGGCUGUGCGUAGAGGUAAGCCCCACCAGAUCCAACGGAUAACGCUCCACCUCCCGCACAAGCUCCGGCUCCUUCCCCCCAAGAGAGGUUAGGUUCCACGUCCCCAGAGCCAGCAUCUGCCGCCCAGGUCUGUUCCGUCUAGACCCCCCACUGUUACUGCCACCCUUGUAGCAGCGCACCCGACCCCUUUGGUUUCCUCCACAGGUGGUGAGCCCAUGGGGAGUCACGACAAUCGCAAGAAAAUAGAAUUUUACACAAAUAGACUCAGCCAUUAUUAUUGAGUGUUUGUUUGAGAGAAACAACAAGAUCUGGGCUGAUGGAAUGACCAGAUUGUAUUCAACAGAUUCCUAUGUUGUUGAAAAGGUUCAUAAUGACUACAACUUGAUCUUGUUUCAUACUGGAGUGGUGGCAGGUUAAACUAAUAUUGUAUUAUUUCAGAUCCCUCUUUUAACUUAUGUUAAAUAAUAUGUGUUAAUGGAAUACCUGAUUAGCAAAGUAUCCAUGAACAACUUUCUUCAUUUAUUUGAACGUUUUAUUGGUUUAUGAUCUGUUAUCACUUACACCGUUUUUUGGGGUGACAUGGAUGAAUACAGUGCAUCCAUACGCCAUUUUAGCUUGUGUCUCUUUCAGGAGAGCUGAGUUUCCGUGUUCCACUGAUGUUUCGCUCUAUCAAGAGACCUAACAACUGGCAACUUUCAGCCGAAUGCUUUAGGGGUUGUUGUAUUUACUUCGUAGCUGUCCUCAUGAAAGCUGGAGUUUAGUUUCCAGUGCCAAAACAUGUCAGAAAUGUUUUGACGUUUGAGUCCCAAGGAAACGUAGUGGUGGAAGAAAAUCAAUAACUGUACAAUAAAACAUUAUUACAUUAUUAUAGAUUGAGUCCUGGAAUACUGAAGUAAAGAAACUUGAGAUAGAGGUUUAAUUAGUUUAUUCUCAACUCGAGGGUCUUAAUAGUCAUAUAGAGUGCAAUGCAGACUGCACCUUUACCCCAAGACUGCAGGAUCUGUAGGGAAGGAGCACAGGUUAGGUAAGUGUUGGUCAUGGAACAGACGGGAGAGACAGGCCCGCUCUCUUACAAAGCUAGCUUCAGAGCAUGGCAGUGCACAGUCAGGCUGCAAGAAAUAUCUCAAACAAACCUUGCCCAAGUUAUGAACAAAAAUAAACAGGCACACAUAUCAAUAUUGCUUCCUGCUUUUUAAUCAUAAAUGCUCCUUAUAUUUCCUGUUUUCAAGGUAAUCGAAGAUUUUUUUUAUGAUAAAUGUUCACCGGAUUUCCUGCGUUACCCACAAAUCCUUUCUUGAGGGUCUGGAGGGGAAGGACUUUUUUCCGGUUGAAUGGCUUCAGAAGGGGAGAAAAUAAUAAAGAAGCUAAUGACAAUUUAAAAAACCACACUUUUAACUCUCUUGUAAGUCCUGUGCUAAAACCUCUAUCUUUGUUCUGCUUCACUCUUUCAAAGUAAAGCUUUCCAGAAAGACUUUCCACAAACACACGAUUGUUUGUUUUUAGCCUGACAUCUACAUGUUUUAAGGCAAAGAACAAUUGCAAAAGACUGCAAUAGGUGCUCCUUAAUCUAAAAAAAUGUGUAUUGUAA